rnacentral:rRNA from 1 species
UACGGAGGGUGCAAGCGUUAUCCGGAUUCACUGGGUUUAAAGGGUGCGUAGGUGGAGUGGUAAGUCAGUGGUGAAAUCUCUUCGCUUAACGAAGAAACUGCCAUUGAUACUGCAAGUCUAGAGUAUAGAUGACGUUGGCGGAAUAUGACAUGUAGUGGUGAAAUACUUAGAUAUGUCAUAGAACACCGAUUGCGAAGGCAGCUAACGAAACUAUAACUGACGCUGAGGCACGAAAGUGCGGGGAUCAAACAGG